ACGGUUUACGUUGAUAAUAAUAAAGCUUUUGCACUUUUUCUUUUAUCUUCUUAAGCUAUCAUGUGAUACAAUAAGGAGGGGUAAUAGAGUCAAAAGAAGCACACUGCGGGGAGAAGGAAAAUAUGGCUCCAACUAACUGGAAGCAAAAAAUAAUGCAGAAGAAGGGAAUAUCAAUAGCUGGAAGGAACUAAGGGAGGUCGUUGAGCAUUGUGAUCAGUAAAGUUCCAUAUUUCCAUUAAUUCUUCUUCUUCCUUCAAUUUGUUUGAGUAAAAUUACUGUACACACAACAAAAAAAACCCCGCAACCCCCAAAUUAUAGUAUCAUACUUAUACUUACAUAUCUUCACUUUGAAUUAUUUCUCUGAGAUCGUAUUAUUUGGUGCCUUCAUUGACGACAUGGCUAAGAACACUUGUUUGCAGUCUAUGUAAGCCGCCAUCAAUAAACUCGUUGAGCAAUCCAAUGGUCACCAUGAACAACUCGCUACGAUUACACAAUCCCUGGCGUCAAUUCAGAUACAGCUCGCCCAGAAGUUCGAAGAGUCACCGCGUUAACCUUCCCCCUCUCUCCAUUUUCGUUGCUCCGCAACAAAUGAAAGUUGAUUUUCCGUGAUUCUCGGGCAGGGAUGACGUAUUCCAAUGGAUCUUCCGGGCUGAGAGAUUUUUCAGGAUCUAUGAUAUUCCUGAGAAUCAGAGGCUCUAUUUGGUUGUUGUUGGCCUCGAGGGCAGGGCCCUGGCAUGGUUCCAAAUAUGGGAAAAAUUGGAUCAGGAAGACAGGCUCAACCUCAGCCUCAGCAGCCUUAGACGUCCAAAGUAGACAAUAAUUAGGCCCAAGAGUCAGGAGAGUGUAAGUGCUGAGACAAUGGCAACUGCAAGUAGUGGCACAACUUCCAGAAUGUUCAAAUUCAUUCCAACUCCCAGACUGAACUUCUCUAAGAAGAAAUGAUGCCUUCUUGAAAUUUAUUGUGAAGGGGACAAGACCUUGUUUUAUUAUUUUGAAGAAAAUAGACCUCUACUUUUAAUACUUUUUGUCUUACCACUUUAAAUCAGUGUGUGUAGAAGGAAAAAGACCUUCUUUGGUUUGUUUUAUAUAGCUACUCAACUUAGCUACUUAUGGGCAUACUCUAUUUUGAUGCUACUUUAUGUUAACAUUUUGA